rnacentral:lncRNA from 1 species
UUUUCCAUACAGAUAUCCCACAGACCCAGCACCAUUUAUUGAGAAGACAAUCUCUUUCCCCUGCACUUCAGUCAUUCCAUUAAAAAAAACUGACUAUCAUUUUGAAUGGCUGGAAUGAGGCUGUGAGGCUCCAGCAGCCGUUUUGUGCCACGAGGCAGUAGAAACCUGGGUUCCUGAUGACUGUGGAGCUGCCGAACUAAUCUGGACCUCCAGAUUCCAUACCUGCAAGACACAUGAACAUCUGUCUUAUGCCGUGGAAACAGAAAUCUAGUGGAGGAUUCUGAUCCCUAGGGAAUGUAGGGCCACUGGACCCAAUUGCCCUAUAAUCUUGUGUGGUAUUUCCCUGCCCCUGCUCAACUUCAUUGGAUGGUAAUGUUACAUUUGUUAAGCCACUAAGGUUUUGGGGGUUGUUUAUUAGGCAGUUGUCUAGCCUGAUAACACAAGCCUGAAAGAAGGGCAUUCUUAUCCCUAUUUUUCCCUGGGGGAAAUGGGCUCAGAGAUACUAAGUAACUUGCUAAAGUCACACAGCAAGUAAGUGGCAAAUCCAGAUUUGAGCUCAGGUUAUGUCUUUUCCACUAACCCAGGCUAACAGGAUGAUUGUUCCUGCUUAGGUAUUGCCUUGGUCUUUGUUUCUUGAGGAGUCACAGAAAGAAAGACACAGACCAGGACUGGGAGGUAGGGAAGGAGGGAGCAGCUGGGGGGCAGGUGUGUAGUGGUGCAUCAUAGCAGCAAAGGGAGGUAAAGGUUCUAGGAAGGGGUGGUCAAUUGUGUCUAAUGAGAUCCAGCCAGGUGGAGGAGGAAGAGGGCUGGGAAGAGCCCAUUAAAUUUAAUGACCUCAGUGACAGUUUUAUCUGAGUGAUGGGGCAGAUGCCAGCUUGCAGAAGGUUUGGGAACAAGUCAGUGAUUAUGUUGGUUAAGGGAAGGAGAGAGGAAAAAAAGAGAGAUAGCUUUAAGUGGAAGCCAGGCCAAAGGAAAGCAUUUUGAGAAGGAAAUCAGUGGUUAGGGAGAGGUUAAAAAUAAGAAAGGGAAUCAUGACCUACAUAAUGCAAGGCAUCUGAAUGUGAUGAUUUCCUCCUUUAGGCUUGGUUCUGGUGUGCAUUUCCAGGGCUAAGCUGACUGGCCAGGAAGCAGGGAGCAAAGGGGGUUGGACACAGCCAGCAAAUCACGCAGCAUUAACUGGGCUGCGAGGCCGGAUCCUGAGUGGGCAAGCAGGUGGCAGCUGAAGUAUUGUGAAUCGAGAGCCUGAAAUUCUUCAGGAUCUUCUAAGAUUAUCCAUUUGAUUGGGUCAUGGAAUUAAUGUGGAUAAGCCUAGUUGAUCAACCUGAGUAGAGGGUGCUGUCACCUGCACAACACCUACCACAACUUCCUAGAACCUAGUGGCCGAGCUUGUUAAGUGUCCCCAAAUGCCCAUUCUCUCCUUCCUUUUAGUCAAGGAGCCAUGAAUUUUAGGGAAGAACAUGAUCAUUUAGCUCAGGACCACAGUUCCCAGACUCCCUGCAGCUGGAUGUGGAUGUCUACUCAGUUCUUGCUAAAACGAUGUGUGCAAUUUCCAGAGCACAUCCUUAUAUGGAAGUUAUUUGCAGUGAACAUUGUCUGUUUCCUCCUUUCAAUGAGGUGGAACUGGAAGUGCUGGAGAUGAGCUGCUGUGGCUGUAUGGACAAAGGCAAGAUCCUAUGGGAUGGCCAAGCAACCAGACAGAAGAACUCUUGAGACCUUGAGGAAAAGAACUGCCCGCAACUGCUCUUGACACUCUCUCCCUCUGGCCUGUUGUGUGGGAGAGAAAUAAA